GAGGGUAUAGCUCAAGUGGUAGAGUGCAUGCUUAGCAUGCACAACGUCCUAGGUUCAAUCCCCAGUACUCCCA
rnacentral:tRNA from 1 species